rnacentral:rRNA from 1 species
GUCUUUUUGAAGUUAAUUUAAAGUCUAAUCUGCCCACUGAAAAUUUUAAAGGGCUGCAGUAUUUUGACUGUACAAAGGUAGCAUAAUAAUUAGUCUUUUAAUUGAAGACUUGAAUGAAUGAUUUGAUGAGAUAUAUACUGUUUCUUUAUUAAUAUUAGAAUUUAAUUUUUUAGUUAAAAAGCUAAAAUUUUUUUAAAAGACGAGAAGACCCUAUAGAGUUUAAUUUUUUGUAUUUUAUAAAUAUUUUAUAAAAUUUUAUAAUUUUAUAAAAUAUAAAAAAUUUUGUUGGGGUGAUAGAAAAAUUUAAUUAACUUUUUUUAAAAAUUUAACAUUAAUUUAUGAAUUUAUGAUCCAUAAUUUAUGAUUAUAAGAUUAAAUUACCUUAGGGAUAACAGCGUAAUUUUUUUUUUUAGUUCAAAUAAAAAUUAAAGUUUGCGACCUCGAUGUUGGAUUAAGAUAAAAUUUAAAUGCAAAAGUUUAAAAUUUUGAUCUGUUCAAUCAUUAAAAUCUU